rnacentral:rRNA from 1 species
UACCAGACUCCUACGGGAGGCAGCAGUGGGGAAUAUUGCACAAUGGGGGAAACCCUGAUGCAGCAACGCCGCGUGAGUGAAGAAGUAUUUCGGUAUGUAAAGCUCUAUCAGCAGGGAAGAGAAUGACGGUACCUGACUAAGAAGCCCCGGCUGACUACGUGCCAGCAGCCGCGGUAAUACGUAGGGGGCGAGCGUUAUCCGGAUUCACUGGGUGUAAAGGGAGCGUAGACGGCCAAGCAAGCCAGGGGUGAAAGCCCGGGGCCCAACCCCGGGACUGCCCUUGGAACUGCAUGGCUGGAGUGCGGGAGGGGCAGGCGGAAUUCCUGGUGUAGCGGUGAAAUGCGUAGAUAUCAGGAGGAACACCGGCGGCGAAGGCGGCCUGCUGGACCGCGACUGACGUUGAGGCUCGAGAGCGUGGGGAGCAAACAGGAUUAGAUACCCUGGUA